GGGUUGUGAGGUUAAGCGACUAAGCGUACACGGUGGAUGCCCUGGCAGUCAGAGGCGAUGAAGGACGUGCUAAUCUGCGAAAAGCGUCGGUAAGGUGAUAUGAACCGUUAUAACCGGCGAUGUCCGAAUGGGGAAACCCAGUGCAAUUCGUUGCACUAUCGUUAACUGAAUACAUAGGUUAACGAGGCGAACCGGGGGAACUGAAACAUCUAAGUACCCCGAGGAAAAGAAAUCAACCGAGAUUCCCCCAGUAGCGGCGAGCGAACGGGGAGCAGCCCAGAGUCUGAAUCAGCUUGUGUGUUAGUGGAACGGUCUGGAAAGUCCGACGGUACAGGGUGAUAGUCCCGUACACCAAAAUGCACAGGCUGUGAACUCGAAGAGUAGGGCGGGACACGUGGUAUCCUGUCUGAAUAUGGGGGGACCAUCCUCCAAGGCUAAAUACUCCUGACUGACCGAUAGUGAACCAGUACCGUGAGGGAAAGGCGAAAAGAACCCCGGCGAGGGGAGUGAAAAAGAACCUGAAACCGUGUACGUACAAGCAGUGGGAGCACCUUCGGGUGUGACUGCGUACCUUUUGUAUAAUGGGUCAGCGACUUAUAUUCUGUAGCAAGGUUAACCGUAUAGGGGAGCCGCAGGGAAACCGAGUCUUAACUGGGCGUUAAGUUGCAGGGUAUAGACCCGAAACCCGGUGAUCUAGCCAUGGGCAGGUUGAAGGUUGGGUAACACUAACUGGAGGACCGAACCGACUAAUGUUGAAAAAUUAGCGGAUGACUUGUGGCUGGGGGUGAAAGGCCAAUCAAACCGGGAGAUAGCUGGUUCUCCCCGAAAGCUAUUUAGGUAGCGCCUCGUGAAUUCAUCUUCGGGGGUAGAGCACUGUUUCGGCUAGGGGGUCAUCCCGACUUACCAACCCGAUGCAAACUACGAAUACCGAAGAAUGUUAUCACGGGAGACACACGGCGGGUGCUAACGUCCGUCGUGAAGAGGGAAACAACCCAGACCGCCAGCUAAGGUCCCAAAGUCAUGGUUAAGUGGGAAACGAUGUGGGAAGGCACAGACAGCCAGGAUGUUGGCUUAGAAGCAGCCAUCAUUUAAAGAAAGCGUAAUAGCUCACUGGUCGAGUCGGCCUGCGCGGAAGAUGUAACGGGGCUAAACCAUGCACCGAAGCUGCGGCAGCGACACUAUGUGUUGUUGGGUAGGGGAGCGUUCUGUAAGCCUGCGAAGGUGUGCUGUGAGGCAUGCUGGAGGUAUCAGAAGUGCGAAUGCUGACAUAAGUAACGAUAAAGCGGGUGAAAAGCCCGCUCGCCGGAAGACCAAGGGUUCCUGUCCAACGUUAAUCGGGGCAGGGUGAGUCGACCCCUAAGGCGAGGCCGAAAGGCGUAGUCGAUGGGAAACAGGUUAAUAUUCCUGUACUUGGUGUUACUGCGAAGGGGGGACGGAGAAGGCUAUGUUAGCCGGGCGACGGUUGUCCCGGUUUAAGCAUGUAGGCUGGUUGUCCAGGCAAAUCCGGAUAAUCAAGGCUGAGGUGUGAUGACGAGGCACUACGGUGCUGAAGUAACAAAUGCCCUGCUUCCAGGAAAAGCCUCUAAGCAUCAGGUAACAUCAAAUCGUACCCCAAACCGACACAGGUGGUCAGGUAGAGAAUACCAAGGCGCUUGAGAGAACUCGGGUGAAGGAACUAGGCAAAAUGGUGCCGUAACUUCGGGAGAAGGCACGCUGGUGUGUAGGUGAAGUCCCUGCGGAUGGAGCUGAGACCAGUCGAAGAUACCAGCUGGCUGCAACUGUUUAUUAAAAACACAGCACUGUGCAAACACGAAAGUGGACGUAUACGGUGUGACGCCUGCCCGGUGCCGGAAGGUUAAUUGAUGGGGUUAUCCGUAAGGAGAAGCUCUUGAUCGAAGCCCCGGUAAACGGCGGCCGUAACUAUAACGGUCCUAAGGUAGCGAAAUUCCUUGUCGGGUAAGUUCCGACCUGCACGAAUGGCGUAAUGAUGGCCAGGCUGUCUCCACCCGAGACUCAGUGAAAUUGAACUCGCUGUGAAGAUGCAGUGUACCCGCGGCAAGACGGAAAGACCCCGUGAACCUUUACUAUAGCUUGACACUGAACAUUGAGCCUUGAUGUGUAGGAUAGGUGGGAGGCUUUGAAGCGUGGACGCCAGUCUGCGUGGAGCCAACCUUGAAAUACCACCCUUUAAUGUUUGAUGUUCUAACGUUGGCCCCUGACCGGGGUUGCGGACAGUGUCUGGUGGGUAGUUUGACUGGGGCGGUCUCCUCCCAAAGCGUAACGGAGGAGCACGAAGGUUAGCUAAUCCUGGUCGGACAUCAGGAGGUUAGUGCAAUGGCAUAAGCUAGCUUGACUGCGAGCGUGACGGCGCGAGCAGGUGCGAAAGCAGGUCAUAGUGAUCCGGUGGUUCUGAAUGGAAGGGCCAUCGCUCAACGGAUAAAAGGUACUCCGGGGAUAACAGGCUGAUACCGCCCAAGAGUUCAUAUCGACGGCGGUGUUUGGCACCUCGAUGUCGGCUCAUCACAUCCUGGGGCUGAAGUAGGUCCCAAGGGUAUGGCUGUUCGCCAUUUAAAGUGGUACGCGAGCUGGGUUUAGAACGUCGUGAGACAGUUCGGUCCCUAUCUGCCGUGGGCGCUGGAGAAUUGAGGGGGGCUGCUCCUAGUACGAGAGGACCGGAGUGGACGCAUCACUGGUGUUCGGGUUGUCAUGCCAAUGGCACUGCCCGGUAGCUAAAUGCGGAAGAGAUAAGUGCUGAAAGCAUCUAAGCACGAAACUUGCCCCGAGAUGAGUUCUCCCUGAGACUUUAAGUCUCCUGAAGGAACGUUAAAGACGAUGACGUUGAUAGGCCGGGUGUGUAAGCGCAGCGAUGCGUUGAGCUAACCGGUACUAAUGAACCGUGAGGCUUAACCUUACAACGCCGAAG
rnacentral:rRNA from 1 species